rnacentral:pre_miRNA from 1 species
GCCCCCAUCAAAGUGGUUGUGACGUGUGGACUUUUACCUUUUCAUAUCACAGCCAGCUUUGAUGAGCGUAG